GAUGAAGAACGUAGUGAAAUGCGAUAAGUAGUGUGAAUUGCAGAAUUCAGUGAAUCAUCGAAUCUUUGAACGCACAUUGCGCCCCUUGGUAUUCCAUGGGGCAUGCCUGUUCGAGCGUCAUUUGUACCUUCAAGCUCUGCUUGGUGUUGGGUGAUUGUCUAUCUUUUUAGACUCGCCUUAAAGUCAUUGGCAGCCGGCAUAUUGGCCUGGGAGCGCAGCACAAGUCGCGCUUCUUGUCAUGAAUGUUGGCGUCCAGUAAGUCUACAUAUUUUGCUCUUGACCUCGGAUCAGGUAGGGAUACCCGCUGAACUUAAGCAUAUCAUAAGCGGAGGA
rnacentral:misc_RNA from 1 species